GCCGAGCCUUGUAACGUGGGCUUGUGACCCAGUGGGGGCAAUAAUGUGGUGGAAUGUUGGGUUGUUUCUGAAGGCUGGGCUUCGGGUGGCUAAUGCCUGGCCUGCCCUAUCCAAGCAUGGAGUUGAGUCAUGUGGCCCAAACGUAAGUAUGGGCUGCUUGGCUCCUAGAGCGGGGCGGACUGCGUGAGGCUGGUUUCACAGUGCAACGAACAGCUCCCGCUCUGUGCGGUGGAAGGUUAACGGGCCAGUGCUCUUCAAGUCCAACAAACACCUGAUGGGCUUCUCCAAUUAAACCACCACUUUU
rnacentral:SRP_RNA from 1 species